rnacentral:misc_RNA from 1 species
GAUUGAGCCGUGCCAAUAUCACGUGCCCCCUACACUGCUCUCUCCAAAAUCACGCAUGGAUUAAUUCUCUGCUAUGGUAUUCUUUCUUUAUAUCCCUAUAUAUGAUCCACUUUUCAUUACAUAAUCAUACCCUAAACAUUCUUUUUAGUUAUUUUUGUUUUAUUUUGACAUAUAUCUUCAUAAAAAGAUUGAUCCAUAACCCCUUGCGUGGAACGUAAAAUCUUAAAAGAAUUUAUAAUUUAAAUUAAUUCAUUUUUUUUAUUUUCAUAUUUACAAAAAAAGAAUUUAAUUUUUUAACUUAAAAAAUUUAUUAUUUUAAAAGAAAUAAAAAAAUAAAUAUAAAAAUUCAAUUAAAUUUUUUUUAUUGCAAAUAAUUUAUUCCAAAAAAAGUUAUGCCAACCAGUUAGGCAGUUACUUCGCGCAUGAAUAAACAUUUACUAUCUAUUAUACCUGGAUAUAAUAAUUCCUUAAGAAUGUUUUUGACAGAAAAUUAAAAAAUAAAAAUUAAAAGUUAAAUGUUACUAUUAUAAGUUUUAAUUUUUAAAAGAGAUAAUUAUGAAUUUAGGUCCCUAAGCUUAACAUUUAAUUCCAAUUUUGAUCGGUCCGA